CUAUGCGAUAAUUCUAUAGGUACAUGUAAAACAUAGGGGAGCUUCACUUGCUCUGGUUAGGUCAAACCCACCUAUCACUAAGCUCAAAACAGCCCAACAGAAGUUCCAAACUCAGCUCAAACGAUCUCUGGACCUGCUGAAAACAAAGCAUCAAAACCGCGUCGAAACGAUUACUUAAUAAUCCAAUUUCGGCUCCAAUCGCACAUAGUACAAAGUAAUAACUUAAUUCCCUACUUCGGGCUAGCUUAAUACCUCAAGAAGAGUCUCCAAGAGCUCUCUCAAGUCAACUAAAACGAUCCAAGGCUCGAUCGCACUCUCGCUGCGAACAACAUCGAAACGGCAUCAAUAUAGUCGAUUAUAGGCUAAUACAAUCGAAUUCUUGCGAAAUUAAAUUUCUAGCUGGAAUUCCUGCUUACCCCUUGUUAGAACACCUUCUAAUUCAGUCCCCAAAGUCACCAAUUAAGCUUAAUUUGGUUCAACAACCUGCUGCGAAGAGAACAAUUUCCAAACUGCAUUAGUUAUCCAAUUAAACUUCAUAUAGCUCCAACUAGCUUCAUAAUGAACUAAUUAUCUCUAUUAACCUUCAAAGAAGCUUAUCCCUGGUCUAAGGAGGUUAAUUCACAGCUAAUUCAUUCAUCUUUAAUUGCUGAAAUCUCAGUUUAAAGCAGUUGGAAGCAAAAACCUGAAAUCAAUACCCAAAUCGACUAAUAGAGCGCCGAUAACGGGAAAAUCAAGUCGCUUACCUUCUCAAGCUUCCAACCAGCACCUCACUGGUCCAGGGCUGCGAAAAUUCUUCCAAAACACUCCCCCACACGACUACGUAGGCUCUGCGACGCUCGCCACCAGCGAAGAACGCGCGAUGCGACGAAGGCGAAAAUGGUAGAAGUUGGCAUUGGUUUUUACAUAACUUUGGGCAUUAUGUUAUACGCAAUCGACCGGUUUGUUUUAUAUCCGAUAGAUUUAGUGGCUUAAAGGAAAUAGUGGCUGAGUUAUAUCCCACUUGACAGGGGCAUGCACACCGGUGGUGUCUUCGACACAUGAAAGAAAAUAUGGCUAAGCGGUUUAAAAAUGAUUCAUUAUUAGACAAAUUCUAUUGUAUCGGCAGUGCUCCAACAUCGGUACAAUAUUAUAAACUGAAAGAUGAGUUACUCGUACUAGAUCAAGAUGCUUGGAAGUGGGUCGAUGAGCUCGAAGUAUACAAAGAGUAUUGGGCGUGGGCAUUUGAUGGAGGUCGACGCUUCGGGUUGAUGACCACAAAUAUGUCCGAGAGUUUAAAUGGGGUACUUAAGGGAAUUCGUGCUCUCCCAGUAACGGCAUUUGUUGCGGGUACUUUUUAUUAACUUAAUAGUUAUUUUGUAAAGCGUUGUGAAAAUAGUGAAAGUAUGACGGCCACGUUAGCACCUAAAAUACAAAGUCGGAUUACGAUGACUAUGGUGACGGCGCGGGGACAUAUUGUAUAUCGAUUUGGGCUUAAUGAGUUUGAAGUCGAAACAGGACACUCUAAUUACAAUGUUACCCUUAAUGGAACACAAGCGGAUUGUGAUUGCGGUGAAUUCAAGCUAACGGGCAUACCUUGCUCGCAUAUUUUAGCAGUUUGCAAUAAUUCACAACUAAGAAUAUAUUAUCAUAGUCUUGUUCCCAUUGGUAUACUGUAGAGUGUUAUUGCCAGACAUACGCACCGCUUUUCCAUCCAGUUCCACACAGACGCUACUAGCCACGACCCCAGGGCCCACUAAUUGUACCGCCUCCCGUGAGAAGGAAGAAAGGUCGACCACGAUCAACACGUAUUCGUAAUAUAAUGGACGAAACAAGUGGGCGACGAACAAAAUGUAGCAUUUGUAAGCAGGGAGGUCAUUAUAGAAACACCUGUCCACAGAAUACAGAGAUAGCACAACAAGGACGUCGACGUAGGGCUUGAUACCUAACUUAAUA
rnacentral:lncRNA from 1 species